rnacentral:lncRNA from 1 species
UUUUCCAUCCAAUUCAAUAACUUAAGGAGAACUUAAAGGUUAAUUUAAGCGGACUUAAUUAACCUAGGGUGUUGAGUUUCAUGAUUGAUCGAAAGAACAACUAAAAAUUGGUUUAUGUGCAAGUAUGUCAUGUGUGGAGAAGUACCCUCUAGCUAGCCCAUCAUUCAUAGUUUAACCCAACACCCAUCAAUUCACCUAAAUUUGUUUAAGAAUCUAUUUAAAUUGUUCUUGCUUUGUUUUCCUUAUUUUCGUCCAAAACCAAAAUCCCCUUUAUUUUAUUAAGUCAUAUUAGUUAGUACUUGCUUUAGAUUGUGUUUUUAAGUGUUUUAAGUCAAGAUAAAAUCAAUUUUCGUCCAAACUUUGUGUUAGUGGCAGAAACUGCCUUAAAGUUGUUUUUAGGCAGUUUUGAGUCUCUAUAAUUUGUUUUGAGUCUUGUGACUUUGUUUUGAGUCUUGUAAGUUUAAUUUCAUGCUUUUAAGUUUGUUUUCACAUAUUUAAGUCAGUUUCAAGUGUUUUAGCAAUCGCUCCUAAUCCCCGGCCUAGAACGAUCCCUACUUACAUUCUUUACUACAAUUGACAACAAGAGGGUUUAAUUUGUGUGUUAGGUAAAUUUUCGCAUCAAAUUUUUGGUGCUGUUGCCGGGGAUUAGCAACAUUGCUAAUCCCUUGUUAUUUCUUUUUUGUUUAUUUUCGUGUGUUUUCAUGUUAGUUGCUGACCUUGUUUGUUUUCUUGUUUUAGGUACCAGUUUAUGACUCGGAAUUCUCAUCCAAUUCGUGAGCAUAUCUUGGACUUUGACGACGAUUUUGAGAGGACUUUGAGAAGGAAUAGGAAUCAACAAGAUCGUAACCCACCUAUUCCUGAACCUGACUUGGAAGAACAUCCACUUGAAGAAGAGGAGGAAGAUCCCAACAUGGCAACGGAUAAUCGAACAAUCAAGGAGCUUUCCGCUUCGAGAUUGAACAAUGCCGCUCCCCUAUGCAUCUAAUACCCCCUGGCUGCCCUAGGGAAGACAGACGAGUUCGAAUUAAAAUCAAGUUUGUUGCAUCACAUCCCUAAUUUCCACGGGAUGUCCAGCAAAGAUCCUAAUAAACACUUGAAGGAGUUCGAGAUUGUUUGUUCGAGCAUAACCCCUGUGAAUGUUGAUGGGAGCAUUCUGAAAAUGAAGGCUUUUCCCUUUUCUUUCUUAGAAAAGGCUAAAGAUUGGUUGUAUGAGCUAGCCCCCGGAACUGUCACAUCAUGGGAGAGUAUGAAACGGGCAUUUUUGGAGAAGUUUUUCCCAACCUCUCGAGUCAUUCUACUACGCAAAAGGAUUAGUGGCAUUUAGCAAAACCAAGGUGAAUCAUUUCCCACUUACUAUGAGCGUUUUAAAACUCUUGUUGCUUCACGUCCACAGCACCAGAUGAAGGAAGAGCUUCUUCUUCAAUAUUUCUACGAAAGGCUUCUACCAAUUGAACGUCAAAUGCUAGACGCCUCAGCGGGAGGAGCUUUGGUGGACAAAAUACCCAUGGCUGCCAAGACCUUAAUUGCUAACCGAGCAUUGAAUGCUCAACAAUAUGAAGGCGUUGGUCAAAGAGACACCACACGGCAAUAAGUGAACGAGGUAAGUUCCACAUCCGACAUUCAAUCACAGUUAACUAAUCUUACUUCCAUUGUGUCUCAGAUGGCCGAAGGAAUGAGGAUGAAAGAACCAAGUGUAUGUGGUGUGUGUUCUAUCCAAGGACAUGCCUCUGAAAAAUGCCCUCAAUUGAUUGAAAAUGGUGGAUGGGAAAGCGCCAAUGCAAUUGAAUUUCAAGGCCACAACCAGCCAAGGAACGAUCCAUAUUCUAAUACGUACAAUCCAGGUUGGAGAAACCAUCCAAAUUUCAAGUGGAGGUAGCCCCAACAGUCCCAACAACAAGGAGGCUUUAGGCAGCAACCUCCAGGCUUCUAUACCAAGCAAUACACACCAACACAAGCCCCCCAACAACCUGCCCAAAACACCUCAGGUACAUCUUUAGAUAAUGACACACUUCUUAAGUUACUCACCAAUUUGUCUCAGGGGCAAGAAAAUCAGGCCAAAGCAAUGCAAAACCAAGACAAAAGGGUGGACCAAAUGGAGAAGCAAAUUGGGCAGAUUGCGGAGUUUGUAGGACAAUUUAGAGAGCAAGGUAAGUUGCCUAGUUCGACCGUUGUCAACUCGAAUGGAGGAUUUGAAUUUGCAAAAGCCAUGAGUUUGCGAAGUGGAAAACAAGUUGGAUCUGAUCCCCAACCGUCCAAUUCACGUUCCAAUGAGGUUGAAGAGUUGAUAAUUGAAGAGGAGGAGCAAAGCACCCCCACGGAAAGGGUGGAAACAUCUUUGCCACAGGCCCCAAAAGCCCCUAAACCAUCCAAUUCGGCCAACAAAGGUAAGGAAGUUCCAAUUUUGAUUAAUUCUAACGUUAUUCCUCCAAAUGUACCCUUUCCUCGUAGGUUCAUGCAAUCAAAGAAGGAGGAGGCUGAAAAGGAUAUUUUGGAAAUGUUUAGAAAAGUUCAAGUCAAUAUACCACUUUUGGAUGCAAUUAAGCAAGUUCCAAGGUAUGCCAAGUUUUUGAAAGAACUUUGCACAACUAGGAAGAGAAUUUCGAGCAAGGAGGUUGUCAAGGUAAGUGAAAAUGUCUCAGCUGUUUUACAGCGUAAACUGCCCACUAAAUGCAAGGAUCCGGGUAGUUUUACUUUUCCUUGUGUAAUUGGGAAUACUCGUUUUGAAUCUGCCAUGUUAGACUUAGGUGCAUCUAUAAAUGUCAUGCCUUAUUCAAUUUAUGCAUCUAUGCACUUAGGCGAAUUGAAAAAUGAUGGUGUGAUUAUACAAUUGGCCAAUAGAUCUAAUGCCUAUCUAAAGGAAGUUUUGGAAGAUGUUUUAGUGCAAGUUAAUCACUUAAUCUUUCCGGCGGAUUUCUACGUGCUUGAAAUGGACGAGUCGGACCACUCCCCUACAUUACCCAUCCUCCUUGGACAGCCAUUCAUGAAAACUGCCCGUACUAAGAUUGAUGUGUUUAAUGGAACUUUGACGAUGGAAUUUGAUGGGGAAGUUAUCAAUUUCAAUCUUUCUGAUUCUAUCAAGUAUCCUAGUGAGAAUCACUCAUGUUUUUCUAUUGAUAUAUUUGCUUCUUUGGCGCAGGACCAUUUUGAACAAUUGAAUGACGAUGCCCUUGAAUUGGUCAUUGCACGAGGAAUGGACAUUCAAAACAAUGAAGCAAAAACCAUACAUCCCCACGACAUGAAUGAUUUUUCCCUUGCCGUACCCCCUAAUGAAGACAUGAUUGAGAUGGUGGCUGCCCUCAAAUCAUUGCCACUACAAUCUGGUAAGUUUUUGGACCCGAUAUCCAUUUCAGUUUUGACUAAUAAGUUACUUCCUUCAGUUGUGCAGCCACCUACACUUGAACUUAAGCCAUUUCCAAGCCAUUUAAAGUAUGUUUUCUUGGGCGAUGAUGAGACGUUGCCCGUCAUCAUCUCAAGCACACUCACGGCACAAGAGGAGGACAAGUUGGUAAGAGUGCUAAGGGAGUACAAAAUAGCAAUUGGGUGGACAUUGGCCGACAUAAAAGGAAUUAGUCCCACCACUUGCAUGCAUCACAUACUUUUGGAGGAGGGGUCUAAAACAUCUCGAGAAGCUCAACGCCGACUCAACCCUCCGAUGAUGGAAGUUGUGAAGAAGGAAAUAAUCAAGCUUUUAGAUUGUGAAGUGAUCUAUCCUAUUUCUGAUAGUCGUUGGGUUUCGCCUGUUCAAUGUGUCCCAAAGAAAUCCAGAGUAACUGUGGUGACAAAUGCUAAAAAUGAGCUUGUGCCUACUCGAAUCCAAACAGGUUGGAGGGUGUGUAUCGAUUACAGGAAGCUAAACGCCACCACUAGGAAAUACCACUUCCCUUUGCCAUUCAUUGAUUAAAUGCUUGAGAGGUUAACGGGUUAUGCUUUCUAUUGUUUUCUUGAUGGUUAUUCUGGUUAUAAUCAUAUUGUCAUAACACCCGAGGACUAAGAAAAAACCACUUUCGCAUGCCCCUUUGGUACAUUUGCUUAUCGCCGCAUGCCAUUUGGUUUAUGUAAUGCACCUGCCACAUUUCAAAGAUGCAUGAUGAGCAUAUUUUCUGAUUAUGUUGAGAAAAGUUUUGAAGUUUUUAUGGAUGAUUUCAACUUUUUUGGUGAUUCAUUUGAUGGUUGUUUGCAUAAUCUCAGUUUGAUCUUAAAACGAUGUGUUGAAACUAACCUUGUUCUCAAUUGGGAAAAAUGUCAUUUCAUGGUUAAACAAGGCAUAGUUUUAGGACAUAUCAUCUCUGAAAAAGGAAUGGAGGUUGAUAAAUCAAAGAUCGAUCUUGUACGUCACUUACCCUCUCCUACUUCGGUUAAAGAGGUUCGUUCUUUUCUUGGACAUGCAGGUUUCUAUCGAAUAUUUAUCAAAGAUUUCUCAAAGGUUUCCCAACCUCUUUGCCGUCUCCUUUAAAAAGAUGUGGCGUUUGACUUCAAUAAGGAGUGCACGGCAUCCUUCAAACAACUCAAAGAGUUGCUGACCAUGGUUCCCAUUAUUGUUCCACCGGAUUGGAGCCUUCCUUUUGAGCUCAUGUGUGACGUAUCCGAUUAUGCUUUAGGGGCUGUUUUAGGACAAAGGAAGGAUAAGAGGCCGCAUGUCAUCUACUAUGCUUCACGGACGUUGAAUGAUGCCCAAUUAAACUAUUCCACAACGGAAAAAGAACUUCUUGUCGUUGUCUUUGCUUUAGAUAAAUUUCGAUCAUAUUUAAUUGGUACUAAAGUAAUUGUUUUCACUGAUCAUGCAACUUUAAAAUAUUUGCUCAGCAAGAAGGAGGCCAAGCCAAGGCUAAUUCGAUGGAUAUUGCUUCUCCAAGAGUUCGACAUUGAGAUUCGAGACAAAAAGGGAAGUGAAAACGUGGUGGUUGACCACCUAAGCCAUAUGAUGCAUAAUGAGGAGUCCUUACCCAUUGCUGAAACGUUUCCUGAUAAACAAUUGAUGUCCAUUAAGGUAAGUGAACCUUGGUAUGCUGAUUUGGUAAACUUUUUGGUGUCUAAACAAAUUCCAAGCACUUUCACUAGACACCAACGUGAUAAGCUUAGAAAUGACGCACAGUUUUAUGUGUGGGAUGAUCCAUAUUUGUGGAAAUAUUGCCCGAAUCAGAUUAUUUGUCGAUGUGUGCAUGAUUCUGAGUUUCAUUUCAUUUUAAGCUUUUGUCAUACAUAUGCAUGUGGUGGUCACUUUGGCACACAAAGAACAACACUUAAGGUGUUACAAUAUGGGUUCUAUUGGCCUAGUAUCUUUAAGGAUGCUAUAAUUUUUUGCUUAACAUGUGAUAAAUGCCAAAGAAUAGGAAAUAUAAGUGCAAAUGAUCAAAUGCCGCGGGUUUCCAUCCUCAAUGUUGAAAUUUUUGACGUUUGGGGUAUUGAUUUUAUGGGUCCUUUCCCUUCCUCACAUGGUUUCCUUUAUAUCUUACUUGCUGUGGAUUAUGUAUCGAAAUGGGUGGAAGCAAAAGCCACCCGAACUAAUGAUUCUCGAGUGGUUGCAGAUUUCAUUAGAACUAACCUAUUUGCAAGGUUUGGAAUGCCACGAGUAAUCAUCAGUGAUGGAGGGUCUCACUUUUGCAAUCGAACCAUUGCGGCAUUGUUGAGGAAGUACAAUGUCAACCAUAAGGUUUCUACACCUUACCAUCCUCAAACCAAUGGGCAAGCCGAGGUCUCUAAUAGGGAGAUCAAGCAAAUUCUAGAGAAGACCAUUGGGCCAACAAGAAAGGAUUGGAGCUUGCGUUUGGAGGAUGCGUUGUGGACAUAUCGCACGGCAUAUAAAACACCGCUUGGCAUGUCCCCAUUUCGACUCAUCUAUGGCAAACCAUGCCAUCUUCCCGUAGAAUUGAAGCACAAGGCGCAUUGGGCCGUCAAAACAUUCAACAUGGACCUUGACGCCGCUGGAAUUUAUAAAAAGCUCCAAUUAAAUGAACUUAAAGAGAUUAGGCAUGAGGCUUAUGAAAAUGCCCGAAUUUACAAGGAGAAGACGAAGGCUUUCCAUGACAAGAUGAUUCGAGGCAAAUCAUUCUUCAUUGGGCAGAAAGUGUUACUCUUUAAUUCCCGCCUUCGCUUGUUUCCUGGUAAGUUGCGUUCCAAAUAGAUUGGUCCUUUUGUGGUUACUAAUGUUUUUCCGCAUGGUGCAGUCCAAAUACAAAGUUUGAAGACGCAACAAGAAUUCAAGGUAAAUGGGCAUCGUUUGAAGCCCUAUUAUGAGGCCUUUCAGGAGCAAGUCAUGGAGAAUGUACCCCUUCAUGCCGUGGGCCCUGUUCAAGCUUAAAUGGAGGUGUCGUCCAGCUAGAAGACGUUAAAGCAAGCGCUUCUUGGGAGGCAACCCAUGUAUUCAAAUGAGGAAGAUUUUUGAAUUGCUCCACAAGCAGUUUUACGUUUCUAAAAACCUUCCCUUUUCUGCAUUUUUAUUUUGCCUGAUUGUCAUUUUUUUUAAAUUUAUUUAUUUGUUGCUUAUUUAAUUAUUUUUGGGUUUGAAUUUAUUGUUAAGACAUUGACAGAUAUGCAAGGUAUUUUCACAUUAAAAUUCGUGGAAAAGAAACAAGAGACAGAAAAAUACAAGAGAAGCCUUCACAAAGGCUGUUUGGGAGAAGUCUCAGUAGUCGGCGGAGCCUCAGCAGUCGGCGGGUUCACAGAAGGAUGAGGUAUCGGAGGUUGAUCAUUUGGAGCUUCACUACACGGUACAGCCCCAGAAGACGAAGGCAAAUGCUGUUGGAACAAACCCACAAACCUCGGAUGAUCAAGUAAAAUCUGACCAUCAGAUUCCUGCAUCUGGUCAAUUUUCCUCUUCAUGUUUGUGGCAUAGUUGUGUGCGAGCUUAUGCAACUGUUUAUUCUUAUGCUUGAGCCCUCUAAUCUCCUGUUUGAGACUCAUUACUUCAGCCGCCAACGAUUCAACUUGACGUGUUCGAGCAAAUAGGCGUUGGGCCAUGUUAGACACAGAACCCGCACACUGCACACUAAGAGCCAGAGACUCCUUAACAACCAACUCAUCAGAAUGUUUGGAAAACAGUUUGUUAUCUUUAGGAGUGACAAGGUUCCAGGCCACCACCGCAGCAGUCAAGUCAUUCUUCAUCACCGAAUCCCCAAUGGUAAGAGGACCAGUUGGGGAUAUGAAGGAUGGGCGUCAUAUGUUGUCUGGAGAAGGCAUGGUAGCCUCUUCACCAAGGUUCAAGUCAAAACGACGGUCGGAAGGGCCAGACAUUUUCAAAGGUGUUGAAGAAAGAAGAGGUCGGACAAGUUAAGAUCUUAGAAGUGCAAAAAGGGAGUUUCUACAAGAGCAAAUUCAAGUGUGCUUUUAAAUGAAAUGCGUGCCUCUAUAAAAAUCAACACUCGACGGGAUUUCAGAUAUCGAAAAGGCGAGCUCAGAAUUCAAAUAGGCCAAUUUAAAAAUCGAAGAGGCGCUAGCUUUCUCAAAAGUUGGGCUUGCUCAGAAACCACAGGCCAUCCUCUUUUCCAGAUUUAUCUGCACUCGUCACAUGCAACCUCUACACUCGACGAAGUUCAGAACUCGAAGAGGCAAGCUUAGAAAUCGGAGAGGCAUUUGCUUUUCCAGACGUGUCAGCAUCUGUCGCAUGCACGCUCAGCUUUGCGGAAAUCACAGGCAGUUUGUCGAAGCGCCGAUUCCAGAUAUCGAAGAGGCAUUUGCUUUAUCUAGACGUGUCAGCAUCUGUCACAUGCACACUCAGCUUACGGAAAUUAUGGGCAAUCUGUCGAAGAUUUCUGGUGAAGUAGAAAGCACGUGAAGUCUACUAUUCAAUCAUCCAACGGUUGCCGACAAGAGUGAAAGAAUAGUACCGGUUAUUAUUUCCUAUAAAUGUCGACCUUCACCCUCCAUAGCAAGGCAGACAUACAUAACCUUCCUUUAUCUCUGAGAAUGCCUUCCCAACGAAGCCUCUCGAGUCACUCAGUGUUCCUUAUUCCUUGGGAUACCUCUGCAAACAACUCAUCCAAAGCAAAAGUAUUUCAUAUCAUGAAGGUUGAAAGCAAGAGUAUCUCAUAUCAUGCUUUCUCCAUGUCCUUCUCCUUGUCGUUGUUUUCAUCUGCGGGACAAGGAGAAAGAGAGCAAUCAGCCAGCACUUAGUAUCAAUCUUCCGAUCUGGAACCGACUGCCUGGAACCCCUUCCUGAUUGUUUACCUAGCCCUGGUCUCGAGUACUCAUCUUCAACAUCUUAUACUUCCUCUUCAUCUACCACAUCUGCCUGGGGAACAAAUAAGGGAAGUGAAAAUGAUACCUCGAAGCAUGUGGAGACAAUGUGCUAAUUCAUCCUCAGCUAGGGACAAGGAGAAAGAAAGCAAGAGGUGGGCACUUGGAAAGAUUGAAGAAAGAAACAGACCAACACCUCUACCUCAUGCCUGCCUGCCGUGCAGAAGAAACAAGCGGAAAAGAAUGCAGACUGCACAAUCAAAUCAAACCAACAGAAGGAGUCUGAUUUGAAAGCAAGGAACUCUCGCUCAGAAUUCCGAACCAGUUCGAGAUCAAAGCUGUGGAAAAACAGCAAGAUCACCUAUCUCCAAAACCAGAUUUGCGUUCUUAAACUCUACUCUGUCUGGUUUUUACUUUGCUAUACUUGUCAUGUUUAUUUGGUUGCUUGUUUUUGUGUGGGUUUAUGCUUGAAACAUUGAGGACAAUGUUUAAUCUAAGUGUUGGGGGGGGGGUAACCAUUGUUUUGCAUGAAAUUCGUAGGAGUUUAUCACCCAUUACUUCUAGUGUUGUUCCUUGCUGUUUUAAGUGUUUUUAAGCUGUUUUGGAGUGUUUUAGUGUGUUUUGACAUAAAAAUCAGAAAAUCUCAUAAAAAUUUGAAAAAAAAAUUGUUUUGAAAAACCCAAAAAAAGUUGUUUUUAUGUGUUUGUUUGUGUCUUAGGGUACCUUCCAACACAAUGAUGAUGAUUUGGUUUUCAAUUACAUGACUGGUAAAGAGAGUUAUAAACAUGGAUGAAAAUUUGAUUUACUCUUUGGUGUAUGCUUGGUUGUGGUUUAAAUUUAUGAAUUCACAUGCAAUCAUAAAAGAAAAAUCAGUUUUGUAACAUGCUUGAAGGAAGGAACUCAAAUGAACGCUACAACCUUGUGAGACUUGAGCCUAAAACGUUUAUUUGGAGAGUUAAUAAUCUGUGCAUUCUUGUUUUCUAAAGUCGUUGCAUGAUCUCAUUAUUCUUUGCUUGGUCACUACUUAGAAGGCGUUUCAUCAUUUAGUUCCAAAUGCUAGAACUCAUGCCUAUUUCAUUCAAAGCAUGCUAUUGAUUUGCAUAACACAUAUUCAAGAUGAAGUUGUGUAGUGACCACCACCAAAGCCAAAUUGUUGUGUAUCCUACUUCAUUAUAUGUUUAAGUUUAACCCCGUUGAGCCUUGUGUAGCCUAUAUUAUUUGUUAACCCACACUAUCCUCACCUAGCCUAGAUUAGGACCAUCCAUACCCUUGUUCUUAAAGCAUAGUAAAACAUAAUUUAGAAGGAAUUCCUUUUGUUGAACUUUUGCAGAAAAAACAAGUGUGGGGGAAGUGAUUCUUGUGUGUGUAUGUGUGCCAAAGUCCUUAAUAAGGCACGGGUAGAAAAGAAAAAGAAAAAAAAAACAUUCGUGGAAAAUAGAAUGAAAAGAAGAAAAGUUGUGAAAAAGAGCCCUAAGUGUUGCAUGAAUCUUCCCUUUGUAUUUAAAAGUUGAUUCUGCAUUCUAAAGUGAAUUCCAAAGUGUCUAUUUCAUUGCUUUGCUUGCUAUCGCUUUAAGAACAUUUGUUAUUCCUAUCCUUUCUUUAUUAGCCAUUACUCCCAAGCCCCGUUACGACCUUUGACUUCUAUCUUGAGUGUUAUGUGUUUCAAUUUGUGGAGUUUGAAUUUGGUAUGAGCAUAUGGUGUCACUGGUUCUCGCAUCUAAGUAGUAGCAUUCCAUUCAUGAGAUCAUAUUUAAACAUGCUUAUUAACUCCAGAAAUUGCUUUCUUUGUUGUAACACAUGUGAGUACUAGUCUUUCAUGUUUACAUCAAUCUUCUCACAUAUAUCUAGUGUAGGGUGUGUAGUCAGAAAAUGUGUGUGAAAAUAGAGAGUAUCUUGUAAGGAAUUGAGCAAAUUCUCUAAGGCAUGUUACUACAUUCAAAACAUUGUUUUAAUUGGUUAAUUGUGAACUAGUGAGUGGUGACAGUGAUUAAGUAUGUGCUCAAGUGCUAAGUUGACUAAAAUCUGUGGGAAUGAUGAUUUUUAACUUGUCAUGUGCGUUGGAAAUCCCUAAGGCAAACGUUUGAAGGUUUAGGUUGUGUUUUGUUUUCUUUAUUUUGCUCGAGGACUGGCAAAAGCUAAGUGUGGGGGUAUUUGAUAAGCUCAUAUUUAUAUAUAUUUUACAUAAAAUUCACUUGCCUUUUCUUAGUUAGUUCCUUAAUUUUUGAGCUAUUUACUAUGUUUUUGUGUUUUGUGUGAUUUAUCAAGCAAAGAAAAGAAAAGUAGCACAAGUGGGAUAUUAAGUAACAAAUUCGUCAAAACUGCCUGUGCAGAUUAGCUGACUUUGGAAGCAUGUUACGAACAGCUCAGAAUGAAUGAGAUAAUGAGCCUUAUAUUCUUGGAAAGCUACAGAUGUCUAUUUUCUGGAGCAAUUUACAGAUUGUUAAUAUCCUUUUUCUAGAAGAAGUUAUGGGCAUUGUAACACUGAAAGGUUCAGAAAAGGGCUAAGCAGAUUUGGCUAAUAAAAUGAGAAAGUAAAGGCACUUGUUUUGUGUUUUGCUUUGUCAUCAACACUCAGCAACAAAUGGGGUUAUGAUUGCACUCAUUUGUCUUUGGAGCAAGUGGAAAUGCACAGCUAGAAAGAGAGGACAUCAAACAGCUCACACACAUGCAAGGAUGACAUUUACACACAUGCAAACUGCAUGGACAGGUUGGAGGACAGAAAAUGUGUUUGUUUUGUGGUUGAAAUGAUGAGGAACAUGUGUGUGCAAAUUGGCAAAGGAAACACACACACAUGGGCAAAGGAAAGGCACGACAUGAGCAUAAAAUACACCACUACAUUCACUCAUUACCACAACACUCACCCUUGUCCCCUUCAUUAUUUCUGUUUUCAUGCACCAUUACAUUUAAUCAUUGCACUCAAGUGGUGCACAUCCCUUGUCCCCUUCACCCAUCAGAUUUCAUUCACUUUCACCUCCACUACAUGCACUCAUUGAUGCACCACUCCUUCACCUUCCUUGCCCAUGCCGUGCAUCAUGAAUCCACUUGCACCUAUGACUAAUUUAUACACCAUUCCACCUCCCUUUCCUUUAUCUACCAUGUGCACAAUCAUUCAUGUUCUCCACUUGCAUUCAUAGCUGCAACACCACUCCAUUUCACCCCCCAUGCUUUGCAUCAUUACUUCACUUUCACCUUUGAAUCAUUGCUCACACCACCAUCCAUCCCUCCAUGCCAUGCACUUCCUCUAUAAAAGGAAGUGUGUGUGGCAGCCAUUACAUUCAGUUUUUGCUUGAUAAUUCAUCCCCAAUUCAAUACAACUUUCAUCCAAACACAUCCAUUCAUCUUCACAUCCAUUCCUCCAUACAACCAAACCUUCAAACACUCACCAACACCUUGUGCCGUAGCAAAGGAAGGGAAGGAAUGUGCUUGGACGUGCAUGUUGUCCAACUUGGAUCGUUGGAGCGUUUAGGUGUUUUCUUUCUUUUGUUUUCAAUGUCUAAAUUUGUUUAUCUUUGCUUUGUAAGUAUGAGGAACUAAACCCCCCUUAGCUAGGGGGAAUUCGAAACCAUGUUCAUACUUGCAAUAUGAUUUGAUUACCUUCAGUGUGACUUCAUAAAUUGUGAAUUCAAUUUGUUUAACUGCUUGAUUGAUAACUUAUUCGUGUAUGUUUAUUAAGAGUGCACACUUAGUUUGCAUGCAUGAAUAUGAUGCUAGAGUAUAAAGAAGUUUCACUUAAUAGUUACAAAUUUAUAUUCAUAAGUAGUGGAGGUCGCUUAUAAACGAUUGCGUUAAAUGAAUUCUUGGCAGGAGUUUCAUGCUCAUCAUAGUAACGAAUGCCUCGUCAAUAAUUAUAGUUUUCAUGAUGCUUAAUGAUCUUUGAUUGUAUCUUUAUUGUGUUGUUCACGUGAAGGACUUUUGAAGAAUGCUUGAAUUGUUGUAUGCGCUUUUCCAUCCAAUUCAAUAACUUAAGGAGAACUUGAAGGUUAAUUUAAGGGGACUUAAUUAACCUGGGGUGUUGAGUUUCAUGAUUGAUCGAAAGAACAACUAAAAAUUGGUUUAUGUGCAAGUAUGUCAUGUGUGGAGAAGUACCCUUUAGCUAGCCCAUCAUCCAUAGUUUAACCCAUCACCCAUCAAUUCACCUAAAUUUGUCUAAGAAUCUGUUUAAAUUGUUCUUGCUUUGUUUUCCUUAUUUUCGUCCAAAACCAAAAUCCCCUUUAUUUUAUUAAGUAAUAUUAGUUACUACUUGCUUUAGAUUGUGUUUUUAAGUGUUUUAAGUCAAGAUAAAAUCAAUUUUCGUCCAAACUUUGUGUUAGUGGCAGAAACUGCCUUAGAGUUGUUUUUAGGCAGUUUUGAGUCUCUAUAAUCUAUUUUGAGUCUUGUGACUUUGUUUUGAGUCUUGUAAGUUUAAUUUCAUGCUUUUAAGUUUGUUUUCUCAUAUUUAAGUCAGUUUCAAGUGUUUUAGCAAUCCCUCCUAAUCCCUGGCCUAGAACGAUUCCUACUUACAUUCUUUACUACAAUUGACAACAAGAGGGUUUAAUUUGUGUGUUAAGUAAAUUUUCGCAUCAAUCUCUCUAAGGACGUUUCCAUAAUCUAGAAUUUCCUGAUGAGUUGGAUAGAAUGAGUAAGUGAUAGUAAGAUUCACAAUAGGCUAUUCGGGACCUUGUGUUGUGGAUUUCCUCUUCCA